GACGACGCUGGCGGCGUGCUUAACACAUGCAAGUCGAACGAGUGGCGAACGGGUGAGUAACGCGUAUCAACCUGCCCUUCAGAGGGGGAUAACACUUGGAAACAGGUGCUAAUACCGCAUACUGAUGGGUGGACCCGCGGUGCAUUAGGUAGUUGGUGGGGUAACGGCUCACCAAGGCCACGAUGCAUAGCCGACCUGAGAGGGUGAUAGGCCACACUGGGACUGAGACACGGCCCAGACUCCUACGGGAGGCAGCAGUGGGGAAUAUUGCACAAUGGGCGCAAGCCUGAUGCAGCCAUGCCGCGUGUAUGAAGAAGGCCUUCGGGUUGUAAAGUACUUUCAGCGGGGAGGCGUUACCCGCAGAAGAAGCACCGGCUAACUCCGUGCCAGCAGCCGCGGUAAUAC
rnacentral:rRNA from 1 species